rnacentral:rRNA from 1 species
CAGUAGCCGCGGUAAUACGAAGGGGGCUAGCGUUGUUCGGAUUUACUGGGCGUAAAGCGAACGUAGGCGGACUUUUAAGUCAGGGGUGAAAUCUCGGGGCUCAACCCCGGCACUGCCUUUGAUACUGGAAGUCUUGAGUAUGGUAGAGGUAAGUGGAAUUCCGAGUGUAGAGGUGAAAUUCGUAGAUAUUCGCAAGAACACCAGUGGCGAAGGCGGCUCACUGGACCGGAACUGACGCUGAGGCGCGAAAGCGUGGGGAGCAAACAGGAUUAGAUACCCCAGUAGUCCCUGUCUCUUAUAC